GAGAGCUGCCAUCCAUGGAAGUAUUUCUCGUAGUAACAGCAUUCUUGGAGACAUACUCCCAGAUGCCUUGUACUCACUAAUAUCAUCUCUGACUGAACUCAGAAGUUCUGCAUGUUCCCUCAUUGAGUUUAUGUUUCCCUUGAUUCGUUUGAAUUCCUGGGUAAACUCAUGAAGUAUGUCUCUGUGCCUUGCGAGCUUUUGAGUAACUGAUGUAGUUGGUGCAGCAGAUGCAGCACAUCUACUCAUAGCAUCAUUUGUAUCUACUAACUUUUCAAGCAGUGACUGGAUUUCCAUUUCCAUGGACUUCCAUGACCUGCUGGAUCCAACUGUUGGUGAACCAGUGUCUACAUAACCUGAACCUCC
rnacentral:misc_RNA from 1 species